UGUAAGCGUAUACCAAAGUUGUUGCAGUUAAAACGCUCGUAGUCGGAAUUUGGCAGUUCCGGAUGUGUGCACGUCGUGUGCGCACUUCGCGGGGAUUGCUUUUGUGGUCUUGCGUAGGAUGAGGCACUUUUAUUAGUGAACGUCCUCACGCAACCACUUUUUACUGUGAGAAAAUCAGAGUGCUCAAAGCAGGCAUUUGCCGUGAAUGUAUUAGCAUGGAAUAAUAGAAUAGGACUUGGUUCUAUUUUGUUGGUUUGUUGGGACUGAGUAAUGAUUAAGAGGGACAGUUGGGGGCAUUUGUAUUUCGGUGCUAGAGGUGAAAUUCUUAGAUUACCGAAAGACAAACGGCUGCGAAAGCGUCUGCCAAGGAUGUUUUCAUUGA
rnacentral:rRNA from 1 species